UACGUAGGGUCCGAGCGUUGUCCGGAAUUACUGGGCGUAAAGCGCGCGCAGGCGGCCCGCGAGGUGUCACGUGAAAGCCCCGGGCUCAACCCGGGAGGGUCGUGGCAAACCGGCGGGCUUGAGGCCGGUAGAGGUGGGUGGAACUCCUGGUGGAGUGGUGAAAUGCGUAGAGAUCAGGAAGAACACCCGUGGCGAAGGCGGCCCACUGGGCCGGUACUGACGCUGAUGCUCGAAAGCUAGGGGAGCAAACAGG
rnacentral:rRNA from 1 species